AGAGUUUGAUCAUGGCUCAGAUUGAACGCUGGCGGUAUGCUUAACACAUGCAAGUCGAACGGUAACAGGAAAAGCUUGCUUUUCGCUGACGAGUGGCGGACGGGUGCGUAAUGCGUAGGAAUCUGCCUAGUAGUGGGGGAUAACUCGGAGAAAUUCGAGCUAAUACCGCAUAAGCCCUACGGGGGAAAACGGGGGAUCUUCUGACCUCGUGCUAUUAGAUGAGCCUACGUUAGAUUAGCUUGUUGGUGAGGUAAAAGCUCACCAAGGCGACGAUCUAUAGCUGGUCUGAGAGGAUGAUCAGCCACACUGGGACUGAGACACGGCCCAGACUCCUACGGGAGGCAGCAGUGGGGAAUAUUGGACAAUGGGCGAAAGCCUGAUCCAGCAAUACCGCGUGUGUGAAGAAGGCCUGAGGGUUGUAAAGCACUUUCAAUUGGGAGGAAUACCUAAUGGUUAAUAGCCAUUAGAUUGACA
rnacentral:rRNA from 1 species